rnacentral:rRNA from 1 species
CAGUCGCGCGGUAAUACGUAGGGUGCAAGCGUUAAUCGGAAUUACUGGGCGUAAAGCGUGCGAAGGCGGUUAUAUAAGACAGAUGUGAAAUCCCCGGGCUCAACCUGGGAACUGCAUUUGUGACUGUAUAGCUAGAGUACGGCAGAGGGGGAUGGAAUUCCGCGUGUAGCAGUGAAAUGCGUAGAUAUGCGGAGGAACACCGAUGGCGAAGGCAAUCCCCUGGGCCUGUACUGACGCUCAUGCACGAAAGCGUGGGGAGCAAACAGGAUUAGAUACCCCAGUAGUCCCUGUCUCUUAUACA